ensembl:lncRNA
CAGAACAUGCGGUGGAUAACGUAGAGCGACCAACGGAGGCUGCAAUGAUGGAGAACAGAGAGCAACCCUGUCCUGAUCCUGUCAUCCCAGAGCAUUUUGGUGCUUUUGACAAUUCAGUGUCAUUGUACUCUGGCUUUGACAACAGCAACCUCACCGCUCCACGGCACCCUACUACGUCCCAGUCUUGUGACUGUACCAUACAAACAACUUUGAAUAUACCAGAUUUUCCAAGUGAGCCUGCAGAUGACCCCUCUGCAUCACACCAAUCUGAGGAUGACUCCAGCCAGGACAUUCUGACCAGACAAGCUACUGCUAUUGUGUUGACUGCAAGAGAAAGACACCAUCUUUCGCAGACUGGUGUGAAUGAUGUUGUGGCGUCAAUGCAACAGUACCCAGCUUUGUUGGUAACCAAUCUGAGGAGUCGGCUACAAAGAGUAUUCCAUCAACAUCAGGGAAGUGAACUUGAAAAGGAGGCUCUGGAAGUAUUUGACCGAUUGGAGGAUCCGUUUGCCUCUGUUUCAACAACGUACAGGCAGGACUGUGUGAUUAAGGACCGUUUCCAUUUUGUAGAGUCAGAGGAAGUUAUUGUUGGGUAUACUGCUUGCUUUCUUAAAAAAGGAGCAAAAAGAGUCCUCUCUACCAUACCCAAAUGUUUUCAGUAUGUUCCUCUGAUCAAAAGUCUGGAACAGUUGUUGUCCCAUCCAAAAGUCCUGGCAAUGAUAGAUGAGCCACAGAAAUACAGAAGUGGCUAUUUGUAUGACAUUACAGAUGGUGAAUACAUGAAAUCACACCCCUUAUUUUCUGCCCGGCCCUCUGCCUUACAGAUAAUCCUUUACACUGAUGACAUUGAACUUUGUAACCCACUUCGG